UAUAAAUGCAACCAUAAGUUUCCGCAUCCAACUUUAAUCAUUCGUCUUAUUUGAAAUUUUUUUAUAGUUAGUAUUUUCGUUGUUAUGAGAUGAUAAAACAUGAAUAGUACUUUACUCGUGACUUAUGUUUUUAAAUUUUUUUAAAUAAGACGGACGGUCAAAGUUGGACACGGAAAACCAUGGCUGCACUUAUA
rfam:Oryza barthii chromosome 3, whole genome shotgun sequence.